rnacentral:rRNA from 1 species
GAUGAACGCUGGCGGCGUGCCUAAUACAUGCAAGUCGAGCGAACGGACGAGAAGCUUGCUUCUCUGAUGUUAGCGGCGGACGGGUGAGUAACACGUGGAUAACCUACCUAUAAGACUGGGAUAACUUCGGGAAACCGGAGCUAAUACCGGGUAAUAUUUUGAACCGCAUGGUUCAAAAGUGAAAGACGGUCUUGCUGUCACUUAUAGAUGGAUCCGCGCUGCAUUAGCUAGUUGGUAAGGUAACGGCUUACCAAGGCAACGAUGCAUAGCCGACCUGAGAGGGUGAUCGGCCACACUGGAACUGAGACACGGUCCAGACUCCUACGGGAGGCAGCAGUAGGGAAUCUUCCGCAAUGGGCGAAAGCCUGACGGAGCAACGCCGCGUGAGUGAUGAAGGUCUGCGUAUCGUAAAACUCUGUUAUUAGGGAAGAACAUAUGUGUAAGUAACUGUGCACAUCUUGACGGUACCUAAUCAGAAAGCCACGGCUAACUACGUG